rnacentral:lncRNA from 1 species
UAAUCAUGCAAGUUGAACUGCAAGCGUGGACUAACAUCAACGACGACAGAUAUCAUGAUGACCAUCGAUUCGGAGAGGACUAUUUUUAGCGCACUAUUAAAGCCCUUCUCGAGUCCAGGCCUGCAUGCGGCGAUUUUCAUCAGACUGGGUGCAUUAUAGAUCAGACAUAUCUAUGCGCAAGAUCUUUUCUUCAAAAAAGAGGAAUCAUCGCUUUUGGCAAGCAGAGAAAGUUCUGCCAGGGCGUCUGGAGAUAGCGCAAAGGGUUCACAGCAUUACUCAUGGCCUCCAACAUGUCCACCCUCCAUCAGUUCACCCACCAGCAGCUAUUAAUACCAGACGUGAAUCUUGGUCCUACUACUUCAUAUGCAGCAAUCGAUCCACUUUUUAAAAAACCGGCCUUUCCACUGUUCCCUGGUAGGCGCCCCCGUCACGUGGGGACCGGUUCAGAACCGCAGGGUGCCGAUGCACUGCCCGCGAGUCUUCACGAGGAGGACAAACUGGUUUUGUUUGGUGCUGAUGGCGCUGAGCACUGCUAGGUCCAUGCACAACAUUGGUGCUGGUGGCACAGACAAGGAGGACGCCUACAACAUGUUUUUGUGGACCUGCCUGGUCCACAACAGGCGAUGACGAGACGAAACCAAACAUGUGAUGCAGGAUAUUUUUGGUUAAAAGAUAUUUUGGCUCAUGGUUUAUUUAGGACCGAAUCGCCUAAUUUUUCUCAAGACCGAAAUAACACGGACGAAUUUAAUUAAAAAAGAGGAUUUUAUAUCAAAACUGUUUGAAGACAAGCUUAUACUCAAACCAGGAAGAGAAGUUCAUAUGUACGCGUACAGAGUGGAGAUGGACCGAUUAGUUAAUGUCUUACACAAGUCUUACUCUCAAACACACACAUUCAUACACUCACGCACACACAUAACUCACACACAAUAACUCAACCUUCACAAAUACACACAGAAAUACGCGUGUUCAUACAAAAAUACACACAGACACAAUCAAGCAUCACGUGUCUGGCUCUGUUACUCGCACACACUCGAUAAAAACCGUUCUCAACAAGUGAAAUGUGGACAAAUGUUUGACUAAGUUUGGCAAAGUUUUAUAUUAACAUCUCUGCCAAACGUUCAUGAAUAUUCUGGUUUAUAAAGGCCUUGACUAAACUUUUGUGUCAGCAGUUCUGCAUAAUUGGAAGGCAGCUAUCUCCCUUUUAUUAUCAGUAUUUUGGGGGGCAGGGUGGUCUCACUACGUGGCACUCCCAAUAAUUUGCUAUCUAAAGAUUUCUGCUCCAGCGUUCUGCGGCACAACCUCCAUUAAUUCGUUAAUGCACUACUGCAAUUUGUAAUAGCCAUCUAUUUACAGAAAGUCUUUCUGGUGCCCACGUCAUAAGAGGUACAACUAAACCAUCCUGAGUGCUUAUAGUCGUAUGUAGUUCUUUCGUUUGUCAUUACCAUCCCAAAAAAUAAGGCCAUGAAAUGGAAAAACCGAGUAAAAUAGAGACAUUCAAAACUCUUCAAAAACUACGAACACAGAGCUCUUUGUUGAGGGUGGCUGAUGUGGGAUGGUCCUUUUUCCAUCAGAGGAAUACAAACGAGGGUGUGAGGAGAACCCAGGAUGUUAAAAAAGAGUUGAGUGGGCAUGCAACAUCAUCUUUUUGUCCUCCUCUCCUACAUUAUAGUCCUCAUCCUCAUGAAAACAGCCUUGAUCCUGACCGCGAGAAAUAGUUAUAUAUGGGUGAGGGCUAAAUUCUGUGCAUUUGAUAUUUAAUUAAGCAAUAAAUAUAGU